AUUUUUUUUUUAUUAAAACCUAUACUUUAUAUAUACAAACUAAUAUUAAUACAGGCAUCAAUUUAAUGCAGGGGUGGCAAAAAACUACAUAUUGGAUUUUGCUGAAAAUAGACUUUUGACACAUACUGCCUAUUUAACGGUUUUACACAAUUUCAGAAAAAAAAGAGUUAUCAAGUUUUACAUAAUACCAUGAAUACAUGGCUAACGGGUGUGGCACUGUAUAAAAAAUAAUUAUUGCAAUUAAUAGGUAAAGCUGUCAAAAAGUUCACCAGUGGAGUUUAAGUCAACCCAAUGUGAAUGCAAAGCAGGAAAUGGAAAUUGUAGCCACUGCAUUGGUCUUCUGUAUGUUCUAAGCCAUUUCCAGAAGCUUGGUUUGAAAGCUGUGCCACCAUUUCAAAG
rnacentral:lncRNA from 1 species